rnacentral:lncRNA from 1 species
UGUUGAGUCAUUUGACAUUGAUCUGAAGGAGCAGAAGGUGACAGUGAAGGGAAAUGUACAACCAGAUGAAGUUCUGCAAGCUGUUUCCAAAACUGGGAAGAAGACUGCAUUCUGGGUGGAUGAAACACCAGCUGAAAACAAGCCUUCAGAAACUGCACCUGUUGCCGCUGCUGAAAAUGAUACCAAACCUUCAGAAACUGCACCUGUUGCCUCAGAAAUCAAGCCUUCAGAAACUGAACCUGUUGCCUCAGCUGAGCCUGAAAACAAGACUUCAGAAACUGCUAUUGAAACUGUUGCCUAAGGCAUUUGGCCUUGUAGUUUUCUGUGUGAAAGUAGGUCUGUUUUCAAAUGGUACUUUACAUGCUUUCUGCAUAUCAGCUGUUAUAUUUUGUGUGAUGCUACUGAUAUAUAAUCGCUGCAAUAACUCUUGGCCUGAGUUUCACAUAUGAGACACUUUUCAAGCAUGUUAUAACUAAGAAUUUUAACUUGUAUUUCUCUUGGCCUCUUCUUACUCUUAAUCUUUUAAUAUUUCAAAAGGUUGCGC